rnacentral:lncRNA from 1 species
AUAAGUUGAGUGUGAUUUAAUGAAAAAGUGCUUAGAUCAUAGUCUAACGGUUAAACGUUAGCUUGCAUGCUCGCGGUGGAGACUUAAGCGCUAGUUUGUGUAUGAAUUAGAAAUGAUUAAGAUUUUUUUGAAUUUUGCGACACGUCUUCCCUCAAUUGGAAGAAUUUCGUAUUUCUAUUACCACCAAAAAUGAGGUAGAAAUCUCCUCAUGUGAGGCGCGUCUCCCUUGUGGGUGAAGAAUACUUGAUUUUCAAUACUUUCAAUUGCCAACUACAAUC